rnacentral:rRNA from 1 species
UACGUAGGGGGCAAGCGUUGUCCGGAAUCAUUGGGCGUAAAGCGCGCGUAGGCGGCCCUGUAAGUCCGCUGUGAAAGUCAAAGGCUCAACCUUUGAAAGCCGGUGGAUACUGCAGGGCUAGAGUCCGGAAGAGGCGAGUGGAAUUCCUGGUGUAGCGGUGGAAUGCGCAGAUAUCAGGAGGAACACCAAUAGCGAAGGCAGCUCGCUGGGACGGUACUGACGCUGAGGUGCGAAAGCGUGGGGAGCAAACAGG